GAUGAACGCUGGCGGCGUGCCUAAUACAUGCAAGUCGAGCGAACAGACGAGGAGCUUGCUCCUCUGACGUUAGCGGCGGACGGGUGAGUAACACGUGGAUAACCUACCUAUAAGACUGGGAUAACUUCGGGAAACCGGAGCUAAUACCGGAUAAUAUAUUGAACCGCAUGGUUCAAUAGUGAAAGACGGUUUUGCUGUCACUUAUAGAUGGAUCCGCGCCGCAUUAGCUAGUUGGUAAGGUAACGGCUUACCAAGGCAACGAUGCGUAGCCGACCUGAGAGGGUGAUCGGCCACACUGGAACUGAGACACGGUCCAGACUCCUACGGGAGGCAGCAGUAGGGAAUCUGCCGCAAUGGGCGAAAGCCUGACGGAGCAAGGCCGCGUGAGUGAUGAAGGUCUUCGGAGCGUAAAACUCUGUUAUGAGGGAAGAACAAAUGUGUAAGGAACUAUGCACGUCGUGACGGUACCUAAUCAGAAAGCCACGGCUAACUACGUG
rnacentral:rRNA from 1 species